GCCCGCGUAGCUCAAUCGGUAGAGCGUGAGACUCUUAUUCUUGUGGUUAUCUCAAGGCUGCGGGUUCGACCCCCGCCGUGGGCU